CCCGCAAGGGGUUGUUAGCGUGGCAAACGGGUGAGUAACGCGUGGGCGACCUACCUCAGAGUGGGGGAUAACCUUCCGAAAGGGAGGCUAAUACCGCAUGAAAUGUCGUGUUUAGAUACAUGGACAUCAAAGCCGGGGAUCGCAAGACCUGGCGCUUGGAGAGGGGCCUACGUCCGAUUAGCUAGUUGGUGGGGUAAUGGCUCACCAAGGCGACGAUCGGUAUCCGGCCUGAGAGGGCGGACGGACACACUGGGACUGAGACACGGCCCAGACUCCUACGGGAGGCAGCAGUAGGGAAUUGUUCGCAAUGGGCGCAAGCCUGACGACGCAACGCCGCGUGGAGGAUGAAGACCUUCGGGUCGUAAACUCCUUUCGACCGAGAUGAACACCUGUCGACUUAAUACGUUGACAGGCUGACAGUACCGAGGGAAGAAGCCCCGGCUAACUCCGUGCCAGCAGCCGCGGUAAUACGGGGGGGGCAAGCGUUGUUCGGAAUUACUGGGCGUAAAGGGUUCGUAGGUGGCCAACUAAGUCAGACGUGAAAUCCCUCAGCUUGACUGGGGAACUGCGUCUGAUACUGGUUGGCUUGAGUGCAGGAGAGGAACGCGGAAUUCCAGGUGUAGCGGUGAAAUGCGUAGAUAUCUGGAGGAACACCGGUGGCGAAGGCGGCGUUCUGGACUGCAACUGACACUGAGGAACGAAAGCCAGGGGAGCAAACGGGAUUAGAUACCCCGGUAGUCCUGGCCCUAAACGAUGAAUGCUUGGUGUGGCGGG
rnacentral:rRNA from 1 species